CUCCACCUCGCUCCUAUAAAUAGUCCUCGCCUCCCUCUCCAUUUGCCCUGUCUUUCCCCUCCAAAUCGUGCCCCCAGGCUGCCCAAUUUCCUCGCCGUUGUGGUAUAGUACCGCUGUCGUACGAAGUCAUUUCCGACGAGCUAAAACGAGGAGCUUGUCCUCGACUUGAUCUCGCCGACGGUCGUACCAACUCCGGCCGCCUCUCCGUGUUGCUCGAGGUAGCGGAAGCCGUAGUAGUUCACGCCAUUACCUUCACUGCGAACAGGAGUAUCCCGUUCUCAACCUUUCCGUCACCAGAGACCGCCGGAGUGUCAGCGGCGUCCACGACCAAGUCCGUCGCCACCAUCAGGCUGUCGAGAUCGACGAUGCUCUGCCACUUUCGUUUGAAGAGCGACGUGUUUUGUUGAAAGAAAAGAGAACACUCUUCAACUACAAAAAGGCAAGUGACACACACCAAAUGUCCCAGUUUUUAAUUCUUGCACAGUAGUGUUUUUAUAGUAGACAUGUCUAGGGUUUAUGCUUUUUGCCUGCUGUUAAAUCCUAGUAGUUUAGCUACACCACUCCUAGACUCCCUUUGUCGCCAUUAAAUUUAGUUGUUACCUGCUAUGCCAUGGAAAAAGGUUUUGAUAGAGGUUAAGGAAAAACAACUAAGUUUAAUGAAUUACCUGGGUGAAUGGUGGAGUUAUGGAGAGGGUGGCUGUAUCAGGGGGCAAGACCCUGGUGCUAGUGCACACUUGCGGAAAGUCACCCAGACUUAAAGAGAUUGUAGACAAAUCUUGCUCAUUAGCUUCACGUACAACCACAUGCUACUAUGGCUCUGGCUUGACAAAGUAUGUUGCAUGAACCCGGAUCCU